rnacentral:rRNA from 1 species
GCCUAACACAUGCAAGUCGAGCGGUAACAGGUGUAGCAAUACAUGCUGACGAGCGGCGAACGGGUGAGUAAUGCUUCGGAAUCUGCCCAAUGGUGGGGAAUAACCAGCCGAAAGGUUGGCUAAUACCGCAUAAGUCCUACGGGGGAAAGCAGGGGAUCGCAAGACCUUGCGCCGAUGGAUGAGCCGAAGUCGGAUUAGCUAGUUGGUAGGGUAACGGCCUACCAAGGCGACGAUCCGUAGCUGGUCUGAGAGGACGACCAGCCACACUGGGACUGAGACACGGCCCAGACUCCUACGGGAGGCAGCAGUGGGGAAUAUCGGACAAUGGGGGAAACCCUGAUCCAGCGACGCCGCGUGUGUGAAGAAGGCCUGCGGGUUGUAAAGCACUUUUAGUGGGGAUGAAAAGCUCAGGGCUAAUACCUCUGGGUCUUGACCUAACCCAAAGAAAAAGCACCGGCUAACUCUGAGCCAGCAGCCGCGGUAAUACAGAGGGUGCGAGCGUUAAUCGGAAUUACUGGGCGUUAAGCGUGCGUAGACGGUUAUGUAAGUCGGGUGUGAAAGCCCCGGGCUCA